GCCUGGGUGGCUCAGUUAAGCGUCUGACUUCGGCUCAGGUAAUGAUCUCACGGUUCGUGGGUUUGAGCCCCGCAUCAGGCU
rnacentral:tRNA from 1 species